CCGUGCAACCGGGGCGGUAGCGGUGCCCUGUAUCUGCAAUCCGCUUUAGCAGGGGUCAUGGUCUGCCUAGGGCGUAUGCUGGUAUGGCUGCCCUAUAUAAGUGGUGUUGAAAUCUGGGUCUUGCGCAAUACGUGCCUGUGAACCGUGUCAGGGUGGGAACACAGCAGCACUAAGCGGGAAUUCGUAUGUGCCGUGAGGCUGCCUGGGUGGAGCUAACUGUAUAGGUAACGCAUGUUGGCGCUGUUCGAAGCAGGCCGCACGG
rnacentral:SRP_RNA from 1 species